UCACGGACUGCGCCCGGAGAAGUCCUUGCUCCGCACUAUCGGACGCGGGUUCGAUUCCCGCCGGCUCCACGC
rnacentral:tmRNA from 1 species